rnacentral:rRNA from 1 species
ACUCAAAUGAAUAGACGGGGGCCCGCACAAGCGGAGGAACAUGUGGUUUAAUUCGAUGAUACGCGAGGAACCUUACCCGGGCUCGAACGGUGUUUGAAUGUAUGUGAAAGCAUACAGUUCGCAAGAACAGACAUCGAGGUGCUGCAUGGUUGUCGUCAGCUCGUGCCGUGAGGUGUCGGCUUAAGUGCCAUAACGAGCGCAACCCUUACCGCCAGUUACCAUCAAGUAAAGUUGGGGACUCUGUCGGGACUGCCGCCGCAAGGUGAGAGGAAGGUGGGGAUGACGUCAAAUCAGCACGGCCCUUACGUCCGGGGCUACACACGUGUUACAAUGGGCAGGACAGCAAGUUGCGGGACAGUGAUGUUCAGCUAAUCAGUAAACCUGCUCCCAGUUCGGAUCGGAGUCUGCAACCCGACUCCGUGAAGCUGGAUUCGCUAGUAAUCGCGCAUCAGCCAUGGCGCGGUGAAUACGUUCCCGGGCCUUGUACACACCGCCCGU